rnacentral:lncRNA from 1 species
UGUGGAUGCUUGAUGAUGAGUGUAGGGGCAAAAGGAGUUGAGAUAGGCCUAGAGAAGCUAGAGUGUAAUAAGAGAGUGUGCUAAUUGUGUUUGCUAGUUGUGUUUCUUUUGGCUAUGAGCUCCCACCUUCAAACCUCUCUCCCUAUGAGUUCUAGAAAGUUCACUUGUCGACAAGUAAAGAACAAGUUUGGGGGAGUUGAUAUCUUGCAU